GAAUUGGCCCCUCGCUAAUGAUACAAGCUCUAAUCCGUCUGAAGAUGCUUUAUUGGAGCUUCGUUCAGCUCAGAAGUCAUUCCUUGUCGCGGCUCCACCGCGCGAUCUUGGUAGAUUAGAGCCUUCUAGAUAUUCAAGCUGGAUUAAAUUGUUGCGAAUAACUAGUUGGAUUUUUCGCUUCAUUAAGAACAUUCGUGUUUCGCAUCAAGAUAGAUGUUUUCAAGAAUAUUUGACAAACGAGUUAUCAGCCUCAAAGACUUAUUGGCAUAAAGUCGCGCAAAAUGAUUGUUUCCCAAGUGAACUACAUUUUAUUCGUUCAAAUAAACAGGUUGACAGUCGUUCUCCUUUAGCGUAGUUAAAUCCUUGUCUCGAUGAAGAUGGUGUAUUCCGUUUGGACGGUCGUUUGAGACAAGCCGAUCACAUUUCGUAUGAAUCGAGAUUUCCUGUAAUACUACCACGAAACCACGAUGUGACGCGAUUAAUUGCAACGCACAUUCAUGUUGAAGGAAACCAAGAUUUAGGAACUUCUCAUUGUAUCAGUAAAAUUCGAGAAGAGUAUUGGAUUUUGCACGUUAGACAAGUGAUCAAAUCCGUAGAGCAUCAUUGUCCUGAGUGUCGAAGGAGAAAAUGUAAGCCGGCUAAGCAAUUAAUGGCACCGCUUCCUUUGUGUCGAAUAGGUACCCCCUCACAUGCAUUUUCGGAAGUUGGUGUUGAUUUCGCAGGCCCUUUUGUAACAAAACAGGGACGGGGUAAAGUUAGGACGAAACGGUACUUAUGUUUGUUUACAUGCUUGUCGUCUAGGGCAGUUCAUUUGGAAAUGGCCUGGGGACUCGAUAGUCAUUCAUUUUUGCUGGCUCUCAUCGUUUCGUUAGCAGGAGAGGAAAACCGAAUUUCGUUUUGAGCGACAAUGGGACUAACUUUGUGGGAGCAAAUCGAGAACUUAGGAAUUUGUUUAAGUUGGACAAUUCAAGGAUUGGAAGUGACGUCGCUACUAAGGGCAUCGAGUGGAGAUUUAACCCCCCGGCGGCUCCCCAUUUUGGAGGCGUGUUCGAGGCUCUUAUAAAGUCGGCUAAAAGAGCUAUUAAGGCCGUAUUAGGCGAUGCGGAUGCAAAUGAUGAAGAAUUGAUGACCGUUUUUAUUCAUGCAGAGGGAUUACUAAAUUCUCGGCCCCUCUGUUAUCAAGGUGAUGACCCGAAGGACGAAUCGGUUCUCACGCCAAAUCAUUUUCUUUUUGGCCGAACAGGUGACCAAUUAGUGUCGUCCAAAUUAAUCGAUGGCGUUCGUUUUAAUCCACGUAAUCGUUGGCGCAUGGGGUGACUUAGUACUAGUUGUAGACCCACUUUCCCCAAGGGGAAAAUGGCCCUUAGGUCGUAUAGUAAAGUCGUAUCCUGGAAUUGACAAUCGUGUUAGAGUAGUUGACGUCAAAGUCGGCGAUAAUAUACUUAAAAGGCCGAUACAUCGUCUGUGUCCGUUGGAAGCUUAGAUACCUAAGUAUAGUGUGAAGAAGUGGCUAUCGAUAAUGUGCUUAGUUAUACAUCGUUCGAAAUCCGUUGUUCGUGUCUAUCGUUAUAUGGUGUGCUUAUUAUCCAUGUGGAAAUGCAGCUUUUUCAAAGUGUUUCAUCGUUGGAGUCAUCGUAAAGUUCAUCGAAAGUGUUUCAUCGUUGAAUUCAUCGCAAAGUGUACAUCGAAAUAGUGAUGUGUAUAUUAUAUAGUUCGCUAUUUAAAGUAGUGUUAGUUGUAUCGUCUAUCGUCGUUCGGGAGUGUUCAAUUAUAUCGUAUUUCGUGAAUCUGUAAUGUGCUUCGGAAUCUGUGUUUUAGGAUGUGCCAUUGUAUGUUACAUCCUGGAGGGGGAUGUGUUAGAAAUAUACUCCCUUCAGCUGUGAAGAGUGACUGGUUAAUUACGUCUACUGGCGUAUUAAUACAAGCAUGCAAUAAUAUAAAUGUAGUCCAAAAUAAAGCACGUGAGAUGCACUACAGAGUUCGUACCAUCAACAUCGUUUUUGUUCUUUUUUUUCACCCAUCGUAACUCGAAGCCAGGAGUCUGCUAUUUAUGGGCCCAGCCUGAGAAUCCAUUUCGGGAUUUCUCAUACAUCGUUCGCAACAUUAAUUACAAACCGAUCAAAUGACAAAUAUAAUUUGUAGAGUGUUCUUAAGAAAUUGUGGGCGACGAGUGGACGGAUCGACGGCAACAUACGACGAUAUUUCAAUGUGGGCGCUUACAAAGUAAUCAGUUGUUCUAAAUGUACUGCAGUUACUGAAAAUAUUUCCUCGAAAUAGAUUGAGUGACUCGGUGGUGAUAAUUGUCUCAAGUUUUUUGGCGGGGGGUGGGGGUGGUGUCUUGUGUAAUAUUAAUUCUACAUGAAGAGUUGUUGUAGAAUGGGUCCUUUAUUAUCUACUUACUGGCGCUAAGUCGUUUCGGGACUAAGUUUCAAUAUUGGAUGCAUACGCAAACCACCCAGAAAAAGAUCAUAUAAUAAAAGAAAUUUAAAAAAGAGAAAAAUGGAAGAAGAAAUGGCUGAAAAAAUGAUAGGGCAGCUUGAUCUUGGUGGAUAACUAUUCAAUUCUAAUAGAAAAGAUUGUUGUUAUGCUAUUUUGGAAUCUAAAAUUUAGUUUAAUAUAUAUAUAGAGAGAGAAAUGGGGUUUAACGUCUACUAGACACAAACUAGGUCAUUUCGGGACUGACAUGUUUUUUUAAUUUUUAUUUCAAUAAUUCGCUUGCGCGUAGGGGUUUUUAGCAGUGGGAGGAAACCGGAGGACCCGGUGAAAACCCACGAGGUUGGACAGGCGACCCUAAUCCUUGUCACGUACAACCGGGGAAUCGAAAUCCCGACAGUGGACUGAAUGACAGACCGUAUGAUACAGCGCGUGCGUGAUAACCAUUCGGCCAUCCAACCCCCCUAGUUUAGUAUAGUAAAAGUGCACACAUACAUGUAUGAGAGAGAGAAAUGGGGUUUAACGUCCACUCGACACAAACUAGGUUAUUUCGGGACUAACAUAUGGUUUAAAUUUUAUUUCAAUAAUUCGCUUGCGCGUAGGGGUCUUUAGCAGUGGGAGGAAACGGGAGGACCCGGAGAAAACCCACGAGGUUGGACAGGCGACCCUUCUCCUUGUCACGUACAACCGGGGAUUCGAAACCACGCCAGUCGACUCAAUGACAGACUUUAUGACACAGCGCGCGCACGCUAACCAUUCAGCCAUCUAACCCCCCUCAUACAUGUAUGAGCACAGACAGAAUCUUAGUUAGAUAUGACUGUCUCAUCUGUGGCAAAGCAAACGAAUACAUGAAAUCAAAGCCCAGCUUAGGCAUGGGCAAGAGGGGUCCAGGCCUAGGGUCCUGCGGUUUAGGGGGCCCCGCGGUUCAUGGCAAAAAGAGAAAAAAAUUCAAAUUCCAGAGGAAAGUUUCACGAAAAUCGAUCUAAAGGCGCGAGGGCGGAGACUGAGCUAUCCCUCAACCUUCUCUGUGAAGUUCCACAGACUUGUAUGCCAUUCGGGUCAGAAUAGCUUUCGUAUAUGAUCAUAUAUUAUGUAAUUAUUCUUGUAUUACAGACCGUUUAAUUGUGUGUUACGCAUGCGUGUCAUUCAAAAGGAUAUGAAAUAAUCUUUUCGUCACGUUAGGGAGCCCGCAAUUCUAGUCAGGCCCAGGGCCCCGCUCCGAUUAAGCUGGGCUUUGCAUGAAAUAAAACAAAUGUAAUUAAAUUAACAUUUUUUAACUAAAUCAAAACUGUCUAGUGAAUUUAAGCUAAAUAAUACAUAGCAUAUAUCUGUUUUCAGUUACCUACCUCGGAAGAUCAAAACUGUUGGAAACGUCUAUUGAUAUUGUGGAAGCGUUUUCUCACAGAGCUCGCUAAUCAGACAAAGGCUAUACUAGAGAGCAUUUGAUGUAUGAUAACAACAGCAAGGGAACUCAACUAUAUACAAGGGAACUCAAAUAUAUACCUUUUGAAUAUUAAGCCAUCAAAUUAUUUCAUAAUUUUGAAAAAGAAUGUAGUGAUUGUAAAUGCUAAUAGGUUAUCUCUUGCUUUUGGGCUGUUAUUUAAAUAUUUUAUUUUUGUUUUGAAUGUUAAAUAUCCUUCCCAAACACAAUUAUAUUUUAAUUCUCUUCAAAAGUUUAUGUAAAAUAUAGACUGUAAAGUGACCUAUAAAUCACUUAGAAUUUGGUCGGAAACCAUAAAGUAUUAAACAGGCAUUAUCUCGAAACCAAAUGCAGAUCGAAUAUACAAAGAAUUACAAAAACCCUUUAGGUACAUUAAGGUGACUUUCCCUUGCUUAUGAAAUGAAAUGGGAUUUAACAUCCUACUUUUCUAUGUUAUGGGGGUAUUUCUGCCCUGGUAGUUAAGGUGACUUUCAUUUGCUUAUAAAAUGAAAUAGGAUUUACCAUCCUACCUUUCAGGGUUUAUUUUUAAUGAUAAAUAGGGUCACCUUUCCAACAUCGUGGGUUUUCUCUGGGUCCCCCGGUUUCCUUCCAGUUUGUGUCGAGUGGACGUUAAACCCAAUCUCUCUCUCCCUCUCUCUCUCUCCUUCCCAAACACAAUUAUAUUGUAAAUUUGUAAUUCUCUCCAGACAUUUGUGUAACGUAUUAUAUAGGGCACUAUCUAGAACCCAAAUAUAGAUCCAAUAUACACAGAAUUACCCCAAAAAAAUCGGGUACAUUAAGGUGGCUUUCCCUUGCUUAUAAAAUAAAGGGGCGGGGACGAUUGGUUAGGACGUGCGGGCUGUAUCAUAAGGUCUGUCAUUGAGUCAACUGGCCUGAUUUCGAUUCCCCGGCUGUACAUGACAAGGGAGGUACGGUGCCUGUCCAACCUCGUGGGUUUUCUCUGGGUCGUCCGGUUUCCUCCCACUGGUAAAAAACCCUUGUGCACAAUCGAAUUAUUGAAAUAAAAUUGAACAUUAUAUUAGUCCCGAAAUGACCUGGUUUUGUGUCGAGUGGACAUUACCCCCCCCCCCCUCUCUCUCUCUCAUUAUAAACUGAAAAGGGGUUAAACCUCCUAUUUUUCUAUGUUAUAUGGGUAAUAAUGCCCACGACCAACACCGGGAUCCAAAAAGGGCCUCCAUGUAAGCGAGCCUACUCACUGAACCACCAUGGCUCCCCUUGCUUAUGACUUGUAUAUAAAUAUUUUGUACAUUUGUACAUGUCUCAUAUAUUUCAUUUGUAUGUAGUUUUUCAGUUUUUGUGCAUAAUUAAUGUUUUUAGUGCUUGUUUUGACUGUUUAGGGGGCAUGGAGUAGGGAUAUUGUGUACAUAUCUUUUAAAUUCUCAUUUCGUUUUUAAGGGGGUAACUUUAAAAAAGAAUUUAAAAAAAAAAAUAAUUAAUUUUGUUUUUAUUUUUGGUGGGGUGGGUGGAUAUGUUGUUGUUAUAUUAUAUUAUAAUAACACAAUUUUAUUAGUAUUGGAAUUACCUUUGUUAAUUAUUAUUCCAAAUGCCUCG